UCUUAGUGUUAACCGCACGGAUUGGGUUUUAAAGCAUAGCACCUAAAUUCGGCGAGUCUUAAAAAUGAG
rfam:Tissierellia bacterium KA00581 genomic scaffold Scaffold419, whole genome shotgun sequence.